GAUGAACGCUGGCGGCGUGCCUAAUACAUGCAAGUCGAGCGAACAGACGAGGAGCUUGCUCCUCUGACGUUAGCGGCGGACGGGUGAGUAACACGUGGAUAACCUACCUAUAAGACUGGGAUAACUUCGGGAAACCGGAGCUAAUACCGGAUAAUAUAUUGAACCGCAUGGUUCAAUAGUGAAAGACGGUUUUGCUGUCACUUAUAGAUGGAUCCGCGCCGCAUUAGCUAGUUGGUAAGGUAACGGCUUACCAAGGCAACGAUGCGUAGCCGACCUGAGAGGGUGAUCGGCCCCACUGGAACUGAGCCACGGUCCAGACUCCUACGGGCGGCAGCAGUAGGGAAUCUUCCGCACUGGGCGAAAGCCUGACGGAGCAACGCCGCGUGAGUGAUGAAGGUCUUCGGAUCGUAAAACUCUGUUAUUAGGGAAGAACAAAUGUGUAAGUAACUAUGCACGUCUUGACGGUACCUAAUCAGAAAGCCACGGCUAACUACGUG
rnacentral:rRNA from 1 species